AAGUCGUAACAAGGUUUCCGUAGGUGAACCUGCGGAAGGAUCAUUAACACAUACCGUUUCUAAUUAAAAACCCAAACCCCUUUUCUAACCAAAAAAAAUAACCCUAUUUUAACACCUAAUACCAUAACUACUUGACUCAAUUUAGAUUGUAUCUCAGAUUAAGCAAUUGACUCUCCAAUUUCUGAUUGGAUUGACUUGCCACGAUUUGAGUCCAAUCGCCCAAUUCAUUUGAAAGAAUGAAUUGUUCUACAAUAAAAACUUACAACUCUUAACAAUGGAUAUCUUGGUUCUC
rnacentral:misc_RNA from 1 species